rnacentral:hammerhead_ribozyme from 1 species
AUCCAGUCGACGAAUCCCAAACAAGAUGAAACGCGCGUCCUGAAU